GACGAACGCUGGCGGCGUGCCUAAUACAUGCAAGUAGAACGCUGAAGAGAGGAGCUUGCUCUUCUUGGAUGAGUUGCGAACGGGUGAGUAACGCGUAGGUAACCUGCCUUGUAGCGGGGGAUAACUAUUGGAAACGAUAGCUAAUACCGCAUAACAAUGGAUGACACAUGUCAUUUAUUUGAAAGGGGCAAUUGCUCCACUACAAGAUGGACCUGCGUUGUAUUAGCUAGUAGGUGAGGUAAUGGCUCACCUAGGCGACGAUACAUAGCCGACCUGAGAGGGUGAUCGGCCACACUGGGACUGAGACACGGCCCAGACUCCUACGGGAGGCAGCAGUAGGGAAUCUUCGGCAAUGGGGGCAACCCUGACCGAGCAACGCCGCGUGAGUGAAGAAGGUUUUCGGAUCGUAAAGCUCUGUUGUAAGUCAAGAACGGGUGUGAGAGUGGAAAGUUCACACUGUGACGGUAGCUUACCAGAAAGGGACGGCUAACUACGUGCCAGCAGCCGCGGUAAUACGUAGGUCCCGAGCGUUGUCCGGAUUUAUUGGGCGUAAAGCGAGCGCAGGCGGUUUGAUAAGUCUGAAGUUAAAGGCUGUGGCUCAACCAUAGUUCGCUUUGGAAACUGUCAAACUUGAGUGCAGAAGGGGAGAGUGGAAUUCCAUGUGUAGCGGUGAAAUGCGUAGAUAUAUGGAGGAACACCGGUGGCGAAAGCGGCUCUCUGGUCUGUAACUGACGCUGAGGCUCGAAAGCGUGGGGAGCGAACAGGAUUAGAUACCCUGGUAGUCCACGCCGUAAACGAUGAGUGCUAGGUGUUGGAUCCUUUCCGGGAUUCAGUGCCGCAGCUAACGCAUUAAGCACUCCGCCUGGGGAGUACGACCGCAAGGUUGAAACUCAAAGGAAUUGACGGGGGCCCGCACAAGCGGUGGAGCAUGUGGUUUAAUUCGAGGCAACGCGAAGAACCUUACCAGGUCUUGACAUCCCGAUGCUAUUUCUAGAGAUAGAAAGUUACUUCGGUACAUCGGUGACAGGUGGUGCAUGGUUGUCGUCAGCUCGUGUCGUGAGAUGUUGGGUUAAGUCCCGCAACGAGCGCAACCCCUAUUGUUAGUUGCCAUCAUUCAGUUGGGCACUCUAGCGAGACUGCCGGUAAUAAACCGGAGGAAGGUGGGGAUGACGUCAAAUCAUCAUGCCCCUUAUGACCUGGGCUACACACGUGCUACAAUGGUUGGUACAACGAGUUGCGAGUCGGUGACGGCGAGCUAAUCUCUUAAAGCCAAUCUCAGUUCGGAUUGUAGGCUGCAACUCGCCUACAUGAAGUCGGAAUCGCUAGUAAUCGCGGAUCAGCACGCCGCGGUGAAUAAGUUCCCGGGCCU
rnacentral:rRNA from 1 species